GUCGCCGGAGCUCCACGCCGCCGUUGCUGCCGCUAAGAACCGCCACUGAAGUCCUUUUUACCUAGGGCUGAGUUGUGGUUCUUGCAUGCUGAGUUCAGUACCCGUGCAUGCGACAUCAAGUUGCUGUGUCGUCAACAGAGUCGCUGCCGUUCCGUUUUCCCGGAUACUGGUAGGUUCAGUAAGCCUUUCCCUGUUCCAAAUUUUUAGUCACUAUUCUGUGAUAUAUUUUUAAGGUCCUUGCAAUGUUAAUGCUUUAGGUUGAGUUCGGUUCUUACGUGCCGUGGUUAAAGUUGCUGUGAAAGAGAUUAGGGCUGAGGCUUAAGUUGCCGUUGAUUUCGGCUGAGCAAAAAGAGUUCAGUUCACACAUGUGGGUUAUGGUUUUGCUUAUCGAGCUUUACCUUUUCAGGAACCGAAAGAAGAAGCAUUAAGAGGAGUUAUACUGCGUUUGGUUUAUCUGUUGUUGAAUUAAUUAGAUUAUUCUCUUCCCUCGUCU